GGAGAGGUGGCAGAGUGGUCGAAUGCGCCUGACUUGAAAUCAGGUGUGGCAGUGAUGUCACCGUGGGUUCAAAUCCCACCCUCUCCG
rnacentral:tRNA from 3 species